rnacentral:rRNA from 1 species
GACGAACGCUGGCGGCGUGCUUAACACAUGCAAGUCGAACGGAAAGGCCCUGCUUUUGUGGGGUGCUCGAGUGGCGAACGGGUGAGUAACACGUGAGUAACCUGCCCUUGACUUUGGGAUAACUUCAGGAAACUGGGGCUAAUACCGGAUAGGAGCUCCUGCUGCAUGGUGGGGGUUGGAAAGUUUCGGCGGUUGGGGAUGGACUCGCGGCUUAUCAGCUUGUUGGUGGGGUAGUGGCUUACCAAGGCUUUGACGGGUAGCCGGCCUGAGAGGGUGACCGGCAACAUUGGGACUGAGAUACGGCCCAGACUCCUACGGGAGGCAGAAGUGGGGAAUAUUGCACAAUGGGCGGAAGCCUGAGGCAGCAACGCCGCGUGCGGGAUGACGGCCUUCGGGUUGUAAACCGCUUUCGCCUGUGACGAAGCGUGAGUGACGGUAAUGGGUAAAGAAGCACCGGCUAACUACGUG